AGCCAAAGACGUGCAAAGAUUCAGAAGAAACAUGAAGCAGGAAGCAGAAAAUGCCAUCGACAAAUUCAAUCAAGGCGAUUCAUCAUGGGAGACUGUCAAGGCUGUACUGUGAGGGACACCCUCAUUUUGGAGUCGGAGUGACAGAAUGCUGGACGAGGGGGGCUGUGUGCCACCCUCAAAAGAGCUGAGGUAGAAAGAAAUUCAACCCUUGAUGGAAAGAGAGAGUUCUUGGAAUUAAAAAAGUUGCAGACCACAAGACGAAAACUACCUAUGGGGAUGCUGUCCUCCUGGAUGAUUAUGGUUGUACCCUGGUGGAUACCUACUCAAAAAUGAGAGAUUUCACACCAGGGUACAAGGCAACCAUCUCACCGGACCCCAAUGAGCCGUACUUGAUGGGGAAGACUGGGGGACGACUCUCAAAUCCUGGACAGAUGUGGAAGUCCUACAAUCUCCCAGGGAAGUUUCUUCCUACGAAUAUUAGAAAAACUGCCGCCACCUAGGUGAGUGUCUUUCAACAUCAUUGAGCUGGUUGGAGACCUGGGGGACUGAUGUUGGACUGGUCCCCCAAAGAUGUUCUACUUUAGAUAAAAUGACCGUGAAAGACCAUGGUGCCAUUCUAAGAGGUGUUGAAAGCAAACCUAUCUCUCACAAGUCAAAGACCCCCAAAUUGAGAAAGUGUCCAUUCUGCGCUGUUCCAGACGGUGCAACGCCUGGAUAACCACCUUGUCAACAAAACACACGAUUCCUAGAAAUUCAGCCAAAUAAGUGCAAUAAUGAUUAGGCCUCAUCCAAUUCAAACAAGAGAUUAAGUCUCCAAAUGUUCAUUAGGGAAACAGAGUACGUCCUCCAUCAUUUCAAGGUCCACUUGACAGCAAAGAAUGGCAGGGACAAGAACACCAAAGAGACGACGAGAGGCCAUAUGUCACAUGUUCAAAAAUUUGCUGAUAUGGUUGGAGGAUUGGCCAAUCUCCUAACUGAUUCAUUAACCAUUUGAGUAAACAAUAAAAGUUAUCCCGAGAGAUUUAUUGUAUUCUUGCCCAUUAAUCUACAAGAUUCUUGCAUAAAGCAUGAUACUCUUAGCAUAGUGUGCAGUUUCUAAGCACGGCAUGGGCAUCGCCAUUUUCUUGAUAGUGUGACGUAUCUUAUGCAAAGUCAUUUAUCAAGUAUGGAUGCUUCCUUCCCACAGUGUGUGGCGAUGAAGUAUUUCAUUCACCUGCUAUUAUAGUGAUAAGAUGAGCACUUUGCAAAAAAGAAAAUGUGAAGCAAAAAUCUUAACCAUAAUGGCCCGUAUUCACAAAGGAGGUUUACAUUUAACCCA